rnacentral:rRNA from 1 species
UACAGAGGGGGGCAAGCGUUGUUCGGAAUUACUGGGCGUAAAGGGCGCGUAGGCGGCCUUCUAAGUCGAACGUGAAAUCCCUGGGCUCAACCCAGGAACUGCGUCCGAUACUGGGAGGCUUGAAUCCGGGAGAGGGAUGUGGAAUUCCAGGUGUAGCGGUGAAAUGCGUAGAUAUCUGGAGGAACACCGGUGGCGAAGGCGGCAUCCUGGACCGGUAUUGACGCUGAUGCGCGAAAGCCAGGGGAGCAAACGGGG